CCCAGCUCCUGGUGCUCUCUCCCUGCACUCUGUCUUGACUUCCCUGUGUGGCCCCUCCAGGCAUGCCCUUACUUCCUCCAGGAUCUGUACACUGCAAAGAUGUAUUCCACCUCUAACCUUCAUGGCACCGAGUAAAAAUAAAUGUGGACUUCAGACUAGGGAGUUACUUUUGAAAUUUGGUGGGAAGAACCAUGAAUACUGAACAUCCUACGGCUUUAGAUCAGUCCUUCUCAGAGGAGAAUCGUCCAACUCAAACUGCCAAUGCUGCCUUGAGAGAGACUGAGCAUGAACGGGGAAGGGGCAGAGAGAGAGGGAG